rnacentral:rRNA from 1 species
AGUGAACGCUGGCGGUAGGCCUAACACAUGCAAGUCGAACGGCAGCACAGUAAGAGCUUGCUCUUAUGGGUGGCGAGUGGCGGACGGGUGAGGAAUACAUCGUAAUCUACUUUUUCGUGGGGGAUAACGUAGGUAAACUUACGCUAAUACCGCAUACGCUCUACGGUUGAAAGCAGGGGAUCUUCGGACCUUGCGCGAUUGAAUGCGCCGAUGUCGGAUUAGUUAGUUGGCGGGGUAAAGGCCCACCAAGGCGACGAUCCGUAGCUGGUCUGUGAGGAUGAUAGGCCACACGGGAGCUGAGACAGGGUCAAGACUCCUACGGGAGGCAGCAGUGGGGAAUAUUGGACAAUGGGGGCAAGCAUGAUCCAGCCAUACCGCGUGGGUGAAGAAGGCGUUCGGGUUGUAAAGCCCUUUUGUUGGGAAAGAAAAGCAGCAGGUUAAUACCACGCUGUUCUGACGGUACCCAAAGAAUAAGCACCGGCUAACUUCGUG